rnacentral:rRNA from 1 species
CCUACGGGAGGCAGCAGUGAGGAAUAUUGGUCAGUGGGCGUAAGCCUGAACCAGCCAAGUCGCGUGAGGGAUGAAGGUUCUAUGGAUCGUAAACCUCUUUUAUAAGGGAAUAAAGUGUGGGACGUGUCCUGUUUUGUAUGUACCUUAUGAAUAAGGAUCGGCUAACUCCGUGCCAGCAGCCGCGGUAAUACGGAGGAUCCGAGCGUUAUCCGGAUUUAUUGGGUUUAAAGGGUGCGUAGGCGGCCUGUUAAGUCAGCGGUGAAAGUCUGUGGCUCAACCAUAGAAUUGCCGUUGAAACUGGGAGGCUUGAGUAUGUUUGAGGCAGGCGGAAUGCGUGGGGUAGCGGUGAAAUGCUUAGAUAUCACGCAGAACCCCGAUUGCGAAGGCAGCCUGCCAAGCCAUGACUGACGCUGAUGCACGAAAGCGUGGGGAUCAAACAGGAUUAGAUACCCGUGUAGUC